rnacentral:rRNA from 1 species
ACGCAGUACUUCGGUACUGAGUGGCGGACGGGUGAGUAACGCGUGAGAGUCUGCCUAGAGGUCGGGGACAACCAUUGGAAACGAUGGCUAAUACCGGAUAUGCCUUACGGGGUGAAAGAUUUAUUGCCUUUAGAAGAGCUCGCGUCUGAUUAGCUAGUUGGUAGGGUAAAAGCCUACCAAGGCGACGAUCGGUAACUGGUCUGAGAGGAUGACCAGUCACACUGGGACUGAGACACGGCCCAGACUCCUACGGGAGGCAGCAGUGGGGAAUUUUCCGCAAUGGGCGAAAGCCUGACGGAGCAAUACCGCGUGGGGGAGGAAGGCUCUUGGGUUGUAAACCUCUUUUCUCAGGGAAGAACACAAUGACGGUACCUGAGGAAUCAGCAUCGGCUAACUCCGUGCCAGCAGCCGCGGUAAUACGGAGGAUGCAAGCGUUAUCCGGAAUGAUUGGGCGUAAAGCGUCCGCAGGUGGCUUUGCAAGUCUGCUGUCAAAGCUCAGGGCUUAACCCUGAAUCGGCGGUGGAAACUGAAAGGCUAGAGUGUGGUAGGGGCAGAGGGAAUUCCCAGUGUAGCGGUGAAAUGCGUAGAGAUUGGGAAGAACACCAGUGGCGAAAGCGCUCUGCUAGACCGCAACUGACACUCAUGGACGAAAGCUAGGGGAGCGAAUGGGAUUAGAUACCCCCAGUAGUC